rnacentral:rRNA from 1 species
AUUGAACGCUGGCGGCAGGCUUAACACAUGCAAGUCGAGCGCGUGGCGGACGGGUGAGUAAUGUCUGGGAAACUGCCUGAUGGCGGGGGAUAACUACUGGAAACGGUAGCUAAUACCGCAUACCAUCAGAUGUGCCCAGAUGGGAUUAGCUAUUAGGGGGGGUAAUGGCUCACCUAGGCGACGAUCCCUAGCUGGUCUGAGAGGAUUACCAGCCACACAGGAACUGAGACACGGUCCAGACUCCUACGGGAGGCAGCAGUGGGGAAUAUUGCACAAUGGGCGCAAGCCUGAUGCAGCCAUGCCGCGUGUGUGAAGAAGGCCUUCGGGGUGUAAAGUACUUUCAGCGAGGAGGAGUUACACGCAGAAGAAGCACCGGCUAACUCCGUGCCAGCCGCCGCGGUAAUUC